CAGCAUAUUCCCAAGGUCUCCGGCUGCUUGCGGCCGAGGGAUCUCCAACUGCAUCCGAGGGCAACUAGGAGAGACUUUGGCAACCCAGGUCAGCAGAGCACCUGCAGCUGCCACUCGACUUUCCUGUAAUG
rnacentral:snoRNA from 1 species